UCCGGUUUGUCACCGGCAGUCUCAGUAAAGUGCCCAUCUCUACAUGCUGGCAAUUACCGACAAGGGUUGCGCUCGUUGCGGGACUUAACCCAACAUCUCACGACACGAGCUGACGACAGCCAUGCAGCACCUGUGUACCCGUUCUCUUGCGAGCACUCCCGCAUCUCUGCAGGAUCCGGGCCAUGUCAAGGGUAGGUAAGGUUUUUCGCGUUGCAUCGAAUUAAUCCACAUCAUCCACCGCUUGUGCGGGUCCCCGUCAAUUCCUUUGAGUUUUAAUCUUGCGACCGUACUCCCCAGGCGGUCAACUUCACGCGUUAGCUUCGUUACCAAGGAAUUGCUUCCCCGACAACCAGUUGACAUAGUUUAGGGCGUGGACUAC
rnacentral:misc_RNA from 1 species